GCUUUCCUGUGGCUCAGUCAGUAGAGAAUUGCGCUAGUGACUCAAAGGUCAUGGAUUCGAACCCCAGGGAUAUCA